rnacentral:rRNA from 1 species
GACGAACGCUGGCGGCGUGCUUAACACAUGCAAGUCGAGCGGUAAGGCCCCUUCGGGGGUACACGAGCGGCGAACGGGUGAGUAACACGUGAGCAAUCUGCCCAUCACAUCGGGAUAACUCCGGGAAACCGAAGCUAAUACCGAAUACGACCACCUCCGGCAUCGGAUGGUGGUGGAAAGUUCCGGCGGUGAUGGAUGAGCUCGCGGCCUAUCAGCUUGUUGGUGGGGUAACGGCCCACCAAGGCUUCGACGGGUAGCCGGCCUGAGAGGGUGACCGGCCACACUGGGACUGAGACACGGCCCCGACUCCUACGGGAGGGAGCCGUGGGGAAUAUUGGACAAUGGGCGAAAGCCUGAUCCCGCAACGCCGCGUGAGGGAUGACGGCCUUCGGGGUUUAAACCUCUUUCAGCCGGGACGAAGCGCAAGUGACGGUACCUGCAGAAGAAGCACCGGCCAAAUACCUG